ACUAACACAACUAAAAUAGCAUAGAAAGUCACCCAGACAAUCUCCUCCCCCAUACUUAAAAUUGUAAAUUGCCCCCAAUGUAAAUCAUAACUAAUAAAAGGGUAAAAGAGACUCCAUGGUAGGCCAAAAGCCUAUGCACUAACAACUUAUGGGGUACUCAGACUUCUCCCAAGCUUAGCCCUUUGCGCGAGUACCUCACACUUAGUUCCAACCAUUUGGUUUGUUGUUGCAUCCUUCCAAUACCUUUUCUUUCCAUGCUCCUAGAAAAUAAAAAAUUGACACUACAAAAAUAAUACAACUAAAAAAAUAAAUAAAUAAAAGAAAUCAAUAAAGAUGGGUUACCUCCCAAAAAGCGCUUGAUUUAACGUCGCGGCACAAUCCGAAUCACUUUUUUGCCACCACCUCAAGCUUAUGAAUUGAACCCCCGAUUUGGCAUCAAGUUUUCGGCUAUGCUCCAGGGGUGGAGGAAUAAAUCUAAUUAGCCCAAGCAACUAUUGUACUAUUCUACACUUCUUGGCUUUUAGAUGAGGUAUGUAGUCCUGUCUUUCUGGCAAGAAAAAUUCCAUAAUGUAGGCUCUUUGUUCCUCGUCCCUUGACUUCUCAAUCGGCUUGGAUGAUUCUAUUUCCAUAUCGUCAUCCAAGCAUAAUGUAGAAAUUUUUUUGGAUUUAGGACCAAUUCACUCACACACAUGAACUUCAAGCCUUUCAGCAUCCUCAACAUCAAUGAUACUAGAGUCAACAAAAUUUGUAUCCUCAAUGUCCUUGGUUGACUCUAGUUUCACUUCUUCAACAUCGAUAUCCUCAAAUUGUAGUUGGCUAGGUUGUUGAUAUUAUUCUCUAACCUCCCCAAUUAAAACCUCAAAGUCAUGCUCUUUUUGGCUGCUAUCAUCAAUAUUGGAUGGUUGAGCAUUAAAAGCUCCAACCACUUAACUCAAUUGAGCCUCCAACUUGCGAAUAGUUGCCUCUUGCCUUUCUAUUUGCAAUUAUUUUUCAUUAUUUUGUUUCACAAGGCACUUUAACAUAUCCUUGAUCUCCUUCAGGAUUGCAUCCUCAGGUUCUUUGCUCCUAUUAACUUCACAAGAAAAGAUAGAACCAUCAUAGUAAGGGGUUGGAGGAAGAUAAGAUGUAUAAGCAUAACUAUUAAAGUGACCAUUUUUACCACCACACAUAUCACACACAUUCCACAAAAAAGAUUGAGUUGGUGCACAUAACUCACUCUUGAAAAUAAUUUCAGAAGGCACUUUAACAUAUCAUUGAUCUCCUUCAGGUCUGCAUCCCCAAGUUCUUUAUUCCUGUUAACUUCACAAGAAAAUGUUUAACCAUCAUAGUAAGGGGUUGGGAGGAGAUAAGAAAUAUAAGCAGAACCAUCAAACUGACCAUUUUUACCACCAAACACAUUACACACAUUACACACACUCCACAAAUAAGAAUGAGUUGGUGCACAUAACUCGCUCUCGGAAACUUUUGAAAAUUUUGCACGGGUGGUUUCCUUCACAAUAUGUAUGAAGAUCAAUAAUAGAAAUAUCUAUACCUAAAUUUCCUAGUUCCAAGAUGUCAUGUUUCUCAAAUCAAUAGUUAUAAAAAAUACGAAAAAAUAAAAAAAUAAAAUAAAAGUUCAAACUCGAAACCUAGCAAUAUAUACAGCUAUAACUACAUCGUUAGUUCCCCGGUAAUGGCGCCAAAAUUUGAUCAAGCUAAUAAUUCUAGCACUACUUCUAAGUUGUAAUAAAUAACACCAUUAAUUCCCCGGCAACAACGCUAAAAUUUGAUCACGCCCAAUUCUAGUCCUAAAAAGAAUAAGCAAUAGCUGCAAAUAAAAUCUGGUCUAAAAGUCCGGAGUCGAAUCCCACAGAGAACUAAGGUUUAGUUGUAUCUGUUCAAUAUCACUAAGAAGACAAAAUUAAAUAAUCUUCUAAAUUAUAAAGAUUGAGUUGUACAUUUCUAACUAAUUAACAAGCAAAUACUACAAAGCUGUAAAAUUAUCAACUAACAAGACAAAGGGCUGGAGACUAAAUUAAGGAGGUCUAGAGUUAUGAUUUCCCCAAUUGUCGAAAUCCUUCUAGCUAUGUACCCUACAAUUUUUCCAACGUAUUCUCUCCUGAUCGUGAACAUUUUAGGUGCCGUAAUUCUCUAUUGAGCAACCACAACAAUUUACUAGACAUAUUAUCUCGAACUACGCUAGUUGACUAUAUCUAACCAUUCAUUAUGACCACGUCAAGGCUUUGUUAUUUCUAAACUUGCCUUUAACCCCGCUGUGUUGAUUUCUCACAUAUGUUAGGAGUGACGUUGUUCAACAACCACCUAAAUAUGCAUCCUUUAUCAAGCAACACAUAAUAAAUAGGCACAGUCAAUCGAUAUCCAUUCAAUCAACAACAAU
rnacentral:lncRNA from 1 species